GAUGAACGCUGGCGGCGUGCUUAACACAUUCAAGUCGAACGGGACUCAUUUGAUUAAAUCCUUCGGGAAGCGUUGAAUGAGUUUAGUGGCGGACGGGUGAGUAACGCGUGAGCAAUUUACCUUUGUGAGUGGAAUAACACCCGGAAACAGGUGCUAAUACCGCAUAACGUAUCGAUGUCGCAUGGCAAUGAUACCAAAGAGAAAUCGCACAAAGAUGAGCUCGCGUCCGAUUAGAUAGUUGGUGAGGUAACGGCCCACCAAGUCGACGAUCGGUAGCCGGACUGAGAGGUUGAACGGCCACAUUGGAACUGAGAAACGGUCCAGACUCCUACGGGAGGCAGCA
rnacentral:rRNA from 1 species